UGGUGCUCCUUAAUCUAGAAAUUAUAAAUUUGCCUCUGAUUACAUAUAAGUAAUCCUGUCCUUUUGCUUCUGCUACUGUAUUCGAUCAGUUGUAACAAAAGAUUUAGUGAAAAUGUAGAUGAUUUUACCUUGCUAGAAGAAACAUGCUUUCAAUUUCUCAUUAGGCAGCGGAUAACAUUUUUCAUUCCUUUUCUCGAUCUACAAUGAUGAAGGUAUCUAUAUAUAUAUAUAUAUAUAUAUAUAUGUGUGUGUGUGUGUGGGGUGGGGGGGGGGAAGAUGGUUAUGUGACAUCUUUCAGAAACCAGCAAAAUUACUUAUCUUUUGUCUCCUUUCUUUGCCUUCUUUUCCCCCAUUCUUUUCGCUCGUAAAAGAAACAACGUUUCAAUUACUUUUUCCCGGAUGUCAACGUUUAAUUAUUACACGCCUCAAAAGCCUCUAACAUAUAGAAAGCCUAAAAGUCUUAAUCGAAAAUCAAACCCAGAGUAGGAGCCGCUUCACAAAGCGUAACAGUUAUAAGAUUUUUGAUUGUAUGACUCUCAAAGACAUACAUGGCGGUUUUAUUCCUUCACUUCUCCUCCUCCCUUCGGCACCUGGCAUGUAACUUUCCUGUUUCGAGUGUAUCUAUAUUUCUUGAUAACUUUCUGAAGAAAAAGUUUUAACUUGCUUUAAAUUGAUUUUUUACUAUUUUGGAAUUGGAAAGACACUACUUUUUGCCAUUGCUGUCAUGGAUCAGAUCGUUUCCAUCAACAACAAGACUGAGUUUGUUCACUCUGUUUUCACUUUGUUGGAUUUAAUCAAGUACUAGUUAAAUAUGAUAGCAGUAUACAGUACUAUCACGUCUUAUGUUUGUCGGAGAGUUAUAGAUUGUUUUUUUUAUUUAUUCUGAUUAUUUGUUGAGAAUAUGAAAUUCGUUACAAUUGAAAAUAUUUUGGCAACUCUAAACUAUAGGAAAAACCCCUUUGGGACUAAUCUUGGCUCCCACUAUAGAACUUGUGGAUGAAGAAUUUUACCAGUCUGCUGUUGUAUUUGAUGCGCAAUAUGUUUGAUAGGGAAGCAGACGAUUGUUGUUGGAACACCUGGUCGCAUUAUUGAACUCCUAAUGAAGGACUCCUUUAGUGUUUAUGGUAAAGCUGAUCAGAUGUUUUAUGUGGGUUUGUAGAUGUUAUUUUAUGGCUUUGAUUUAUUUCCUUAUAUUUUUAGGAAACCCAUAAUCCCUAUAGAUUUGGGAAAACUCAUUGUCCUAAUAGAUUUAGGAAAGGAAAACCUAUUGUCAUUGUCAAAUUAGGAAAUCUUUCUCUUAUAGGUUUGGGACUAUUUGAAAUCUAUAUAGAGGCGUUGUAGUUGGGGAUUCUAUAGAUUGUAUUGUGCUUUUCUUCUCAUUCAUAGUGGAAAACUCUCUCUGCUUCUGUCCCGAGGAAUAGGCUUAGCCGAACCUCGUUAAACCCUUGUGUUGAUUUUUCUUCUCUAUUUGCUUUGUGUGAUCGUGUGCUAGUUAACCCACGAUAUAACGCAACAAUUGGUAUUAGAGCAAGGUUCGGGUUUCUACAUAUAAUCUAGGGUUAAGAUGUCUUCACCAUCUUCAACAAAGUACGAAGUAGAGAAAUUUGACAGGGGUUCUAGCUUCAGUCUAUGGAAGAUUAUGAUGAAAUCGUCCCUGAUAUUACAAGGGUUAUGAAAGACAAUUGAUGAGAAUUUUUCUAAAUAGAUGAAAGAGACAGAGAAGGCUGACCUGAAGGAGAGGGCUUUGAGUGCGAUCUUCAUAAGCGUUACAGAUAGCGUUCUUCAGGAAAUUACUGAAGAAACUUCUGCAACAAUGGCAUGGAAGAAGCUAGAAGAUCUGUAUUCUAAGAAAUCGCUGACAAACCGCCUCUACUUGAAAAAGAGGUUAUACAAUCUCCGUAUGAACGAAGGUACACCUGUUAAAACUCACCUUGAUGAGUUUGAUUCAAUUAUAAUGGACCUGAAAAACGUGGAUAUCAAAAUUGAGAGUGAGGAUCAGGCCUUGAUUGUGUUAUGUUCUUUACCACCGUCUUAUGAUACUUUUGCCGAUAUGCUGCUAUAUGGGAAAGACAACAUUUUACUGGAAGAUGUUAGUAAUGCAUGAAAAUCUAAAGAGUUGAAAAAGAGCUUUCCAAACAGUAGAAUUGAGGGUGAGGGUCUUGUGAUUAGAGGAAGAACACAACAAAAGGACUUUAACAGGAAAAAGUCAACCGCGAGAUCAAAGUCUAGAGCAAAGAAGCAAAACUGUUAUGAGUGCGCGGAAUAAGGACAUUAUAGGAGAGAUUGUCCUAAGCUGAAGGAGAAAAGAGGGAAGCAGAAAAUAGAUAAUUCGGAAAAUAUUGUUGAUACUGGCAAUAAUUCUGAUGAUAGUGACUAUGUAGGGGAAGUGUGUGCUGUGAGUUCUAGUCAUGUGCAGAAUUCUUUGGUUCUUGAUUCUGGUGCUACUUUUCACAUGUGUCCACACAAGAAUUGGUUUGCAACUUACAAGCAAAUGAGUGGGACUGUCUACAUGGGAGAUGAUAAUCCAUUACCAGUAGAGGGGAUUGGUAACAUCAAAUUGAGAAUGUUCAAUGGAAUUAUCAGAAACAUUGAGUGUUGUCAUGUUCCUUGGAUAAACUGAAAUUUAAUUUCUCUUUCGACUUUGGAUGAUCAAGGGUAUAAAUUUCACUCCGAGAAUGGAAUACUUAAAGUGUAUAAAUGCUCCAUGGUACUCAUGAAGGGCAAACUGCAUUCUAAUAUGUAUCAUCUUCAGGCCAGUGUAGUUGAAAGGGAAGCUACUGUAGCUUCUGGGAAAAGUGAUCUGAAUCAGUCUCAGUUAUGGCACUUGCGACUUGGUCAUAUGAAUGAUAAGGGAUUGGCUUUGUUGAGUAAGCAGAAUUUGCUGAAUGGGUACAAAAAUCAAGUUUUAAAUUUUUGUGAGCAUUAUGUGUUUGGUAAACAGACAAGGGUAAAAUUCAGCAAGAAGGUCGAGCACAAGACAAGAGACAAAUUAGAUUAUAUACAUUCAGACUUAUGGGGUCCAAACAGAGUUCCCUCCUAGAGUGGUGCCAGGUAUUUUAUGACUUUGAUUGAUGAUUACUCAAGGAUGGUGUAGGUGUAUUUUCUGAAAAUAAAAGAUGAGGCAUUUAUGAUAUUUAUUAAAUGGAAGACGAUGAUUGAGAGGCAGACAGAAAGAAAAGUUAAGCGUCUUCGAACUAACAAUGGUUUGGAGUUUUGUAAUUUUGAGUUUGAUAAUUUCUGCAGCAGAGAGGGCAUAAUGAGACACCGCACUUGUGUCAGAACACCACAAUAAAAUGGUAUUGCAUAACGUAUGAACAAAAUACUUUGUGAUAGGGCACGAAGCAUGCUUUCACACUCGUGUGUUAGCAAGGAUUUUUGGGCUGAAGCAAUCAAUACAGCUUAUUAUUUGGUCAACAGAUCUCCUUCUACAGCUAUUGAGUUCAAAACUCCUUUUGAGGUAUGGUCCGGUUCGCCUGCUGAUUAUUCAAAUUUAAGGAUAUUUGGUUGUCCUGCUUAUGCUCAUGUGAGAGAUGGAAAACUUGAGCCGAGGGCAAAAAAGUACAUAUUUCUAGGGUAUGCAACUGGAGUGAAAGGUUAUAGGUUGUGGUGCACAGAUCAAAAGACUUCAGGGCUAAUUAUUAGUAGGGAUGUAACAUUCAAUGAAUCCGCCUCACUGGACAGUAACAGGGAGAAGGCAAUAACAGAAACAGAUUGUGGUGUCAGUGACCGCAUAGAGCUAGAAAUUAAAUCUCCAAUAGCUCAGCCCAGUAGUUUUAAAGGAGAGGAAGUGGAUGAGGUGCAAAAUAUUGAUUAAGAUGAUAAUAUUAAUGCACUUGCGCAACAGCAACCAUUUAGCAUUGCAACAGGCAGAGAGAAAAGAGUGAUCAACAUAAUUGAUAGGAAUCUUCUUGGAUACACGAAUCCUGUGGAAUUUGCUUUGGCAGUUGCAGAGACCGUUGAUGAGUUUGAGUGUUAUAACUAUCCAGAAGCUAUUCCGAGUACAGAACCAAAUCGACGGAUUAGUGCUAUGGCUAAAGAGAUUGAGUCUCUUAACAAGUUUAGGCAUUGCCUAGACUGGGUUGAUGUGUGCAUAAUGGGUAGAGCCAUUGCGUGGGCUAAGGGCAAGGUAGAGAGACGUUGUUCCUGUUGAUGAAGAGAAUUCAAGCCAAGGGGAAGAUUUGUUAUUUUAUGGCUUUAAUUAUUUCCUUGUAUUUUUAGGAAACUCAUAAUCCCUAUAGAUUUGGGAAAACCCAUUGUCCUAAUAGAUUUGGAAAAGGAAAAUCUAUUGUCCUUGUCAAAUUAGGAAACCUUUCUCUUAUAGGUUUGAGACUAUUUGGGAUCUAUAUAUAGGGGUUGUAGUUGGGGAUUCUAUAGAUUGUAUUGUGCUUUUCUUCUCAUUUAUAGUGGAAAACUCUCUCUGCUUCUGGCCCGAGGAUGAGGCUUAGCCGAACCUCGUUAAAUUCUUGUGUUUAUUUUUCUUCUCUAUUUGCUUUGUGUGUGAUUGUGUGCUAGUUAACCCACGAUAUUCUGCAACAGUAGAGAGGAUGUUGAAAUCUAGAAAAUGUUGCGCAGAAAUUUCAGAUAAUGAUGUUUUUAGCCAUAAUGUCAAGUUGGAUACUACUUACUAAGAAUUACCAACAAGCUCAAGUAUAGCAAAAUCACGAGAUCUGUCUUAUUUUUGCUGAGUACCCUGGAGGUUUUUUAUUUACUAAGUUAUUAUGUGUAUAUAUGGCCAUAUGGGUGCAGGUAGGAAUUUUGAUGAGAAGUUAGCUGAUGGCAUUUUCUUAUAUUCAAUUGCUUGUGAGAUGCAUCAGAAACCGGUAGUCCUAGGACCUUUAAUAUCAGCAUGAAUCUAUAGCCUAAGUCUCUUUUUAGCACUAUUUAAUGUCUAUCCUAUUGAUCUAUUAUCGUUGUAAUUUGUUAGCUCCCAUCAUAAGGAGUAAAAUUAGUUCAUGUUUUGUUUUUUAUCAAAAAUUUAUAAGAGCGAACACAUAUUUGUUCUUCAGGAGCAUGUGAAAGGGCAGGUGUAUGGAAUUGAGACCAGUUUCGUAGUUAAUAUUUUCUUUUUGAGGAAGCUUAUUUAUAGUGGGAGGCACCAUAUAGACUUUAGAAGAACAAAAGAUUAGGAUACAAUCAGACAUAAUUGAUAUCGAGGAUUAAUAUAAGCAUCCGAGUUGGGAUUGAAGCAUAGUGGAUUAAAUUGUUUUUUACUGUAAAAGUUUGUUAUUUACUAUUAUGAUGGCUAAACUAUAUUAGAUAUAGAUUUUUGGGCUACGUUGAAUAUAAGAAAAUGACAUCUGCUAACUUCUCGUCAAAAUUCCUACAUGCUCGGACUCUCUAAAAAUGCUAUUGCACAUCCUCCAAAAAUAAACUAAUUUUAGAGGAUCUAACACACGCCCGACGAUAUUUUUAGAGAGAUCAAGUAACAUAAAUUUUUAUUACAUUGUUUCAUAGUUGGGAGGCACUGUAUGAACUUUAAGGGGAAUCAAAUUUCGUUUUCUUUGUGAACUUAUAUGUUUAAGUUCGACGCUGAUGAAAAUGUUGUUAUUUGCCUGUUGUGAAGAUGGGUUACAAAAUUAGAUAUUGUUCUGCUUGGAAUGAAUUGCUGUAAAUUAAACUAUGCUCAUUGUGAAUAAUUGAAUUUCAUUAUUUGGUAGCCGAUUAGCUAUCAGAUUGAAACUGUUGGCGCUUAUUAAUCGGGGUAUGCCUAUAGGAGCAUUCUUUGCAUGCUUAUCCCUACGUUUACUUGUGUAUAUCAAUUGAAUUUGUUUUUGAUAUCAGUAAUUAAAUCAAUCAUCGUACGCAAAUCUCUAUUACAUUUUGUAUGUUAUACCAUUCGAUAUACAUGUCAUAUUUGUCGUCUUUGUUGUAUGGUGCUAUACGCAAAUCACAGAAAUUAUGUGUACGUGGUUGGAUGAUCCAUUUGCGAGGGGUUAGCGAAGUUUUUUAGGAGGGUACGUAUAAGAAAUGUGCUCUUCAGUUGAUUAUGACUUUUUUCUUAUAUUUUCUAUUUCCAUAAGACCAGAUACACCUCUGAGUUCGUAUAUAAGAUGUUAUCUUAGAGUGGAGUAUACAAUAUCAUUUAUAAGGAGAGAACUAGGCUUUUUUUCAGUGACAAUACUAUAUACAUGCUGGUUAGUGCUACAUACUGGGCCAAAGUUGUAGUGUUUAUUAUUGUCGUUUCUAACGUAUCUAUUUUGUAUUAGGUUUUAACUUUCAUGCAUGAUCUAAUGCUGGCGUACUCUUAUUAGGGAUCAGGAUCGCAGCAUGGUGAACUUAGCUUCAGUUUAAUUGCUACAAGUUAUGCUUAAUCAUGAAGAUCAAGCCAAGCAACAAGAUCUAGGGCGUUGGAGCAGGGCGCUUUCAUUUAUAUUUUCAUUCUCUCUGAUUUUUGUUAAACCACUGGACAAAUAUUACUACCUUAACAAAAUUUCCAUCGAAGCUGCAUUUUUGGAUGGGUAUGGGGUGGCUGAAAACAAAAAGUUGUCAUACUACUAUGCGUAUAUACGCCUUUUAUUCUUUUGUAAGCCUUUUGUAUCUUUUGUUGUUCAGAAGAUACAGAAUUUUGCUCUUAGGCUUUCUUUGUCGUGAUGUGUUUCGGAGCCUCUAAAAUAGCGUCCAUUUUGGGGUCUAUUUUUUUAAAGGAGACCUUUAACGCAAAGGAGAG
rnacentral:lncRNA from 1 species